UUCUGUGAUUUCUCUUUAGCUGGAGCUUCUAGUUUGAGUAGAGUGAACUCUAAUAACUUGUUAUUUGAUUUGGAGAGCUUUGAGGUCCGUGGAGUCUGGGAACUCGAGGUUCUUGGAGGAGGAAAACUGCUUCGAAUUGAGUUGGGUUAGGGAUUUGAGAAGGGGGUGGUGAUAGAGCAGCCAGUUCACAGCAGCAUACAUGGGUUAUCCUUGUUGGAGAAGAAGAAUGGACUCGAGCGUGUGCCCAUGAAAUUGGAAGAAGUAUCAAAAGGCAGAAACGAAGCUAAGUUCGGGUGAGCACUCCAAUUCCAGGUAGGGUGAGCCGUCCCUAUCUUGUUAGUGGUUUUCUUGUGCGUGUAUAUGCUUAUACAUAUAUUAAGCUGCCUGCAAGUACGUUUUUGGUUGUUCAUUAGUCGAUGCCUCGUGAUACAUGUGUUUCCAGAACUGAUAAUUGCUAAUUGCGAAAACCGAGGCUAGACUUGCAUGUUGAGAUACUGUACCCUUGUAUGUUUAUACUUGUGACCUGAAAGUGAAUGGGACCUAGACGCUUAGAUUCCUAGGGAUCCCACGGUGUCGAUAACCGUGAACCUCCGGAGGGGGCUGUGCUCCUAUGUUUGUCGAGGAAAGAUAAGUAUAGACAGUGAACCAGUCAUAGGAGACUCAGGGCCAGGAAAUGGACACUUUCGCUACUUGUAGUCAGAAGUACUACAGAGUAGUUGGCCGGUUCUCGAAUUCAGGACGAACCAGGUCGGUCACCGAUUUGUUUUAUAUUAGCCGGCAGGUAAGUAUCUCGGAGCUCCAAGUUGUGUGAAACAUACUGCAUAUGUUUUAUAAAAGCGAUAAAUGUUUGUGGUUGCCUCUUUAUAAAGUAUUUUCGAUAAACGUGCACAAUAUUAUGUAGUAAAUAUUUUCAAGUAUAUUAUUAUUUUCAAACCUAGCAUGGUUGGGUCGGCCCUUACUGGGCAUGCGAGGACGAAAGCUCACCCCUACAACAGUGUGCAAGUUUUGAGCAUGUGGUCGGGAAGCGUAUAGGAGAGGCACAUGGCCCGGCUUGGCGCAUUCCUCUUUGUCUUUACCAAAGUACGGUUUCGGGUCUAUUAUCGGAUUUUGAAGUCACUUAUUUAUUUACCUUCUGACUAAUUUAUUUAUUUCCUACUCGCUUACAAAAAUUCCGGGAGACCCGUAACCCUGGGGCGCGUCUCCCAUGCUUGUAUUUAUUUAGUGAAUUGUUUUAUUCUCCAAAUUGGGCUCCGAUUGCAAGCCCAAUACUCUUAGCCCAUUUCAAAUUCCGCUUUUGAAAAUAUGUUGUUCGGUUGCUAGAACGUUUUGAGACAUUUGUCCAAGAAAGUGUUUUGUAAACCAACAACCUGAACCAAAAAGGCCUUGUGAUUUCGGGUUAAUGAGUCAUCGGGAUGUCGUUAGUGACGUGUCGGUUUCUCAUUGGCUCGGGGGCGCGGCGCUGUGGGACCCCUAUCUCGGGUCACCACAUGUUUUAUCCCAUGU
rnacentral:lncRNA from 1 species